rnacentral:rRNA from 1 species
UGGGGAAUAUUGGACAAUGGGCGCAAGCCUGAUCCAGCCAUGCCGCGCGAGUGAUGAAGGCCCUAGGGUUGUAAAGCUCUUUCGCCAGGGACGAUAAUGACGGUACCUGGAUAAGAAGCCCCGGCUAACUUCGUG